GGCUCAGGACGAACGCUGGCGGCGUGCUUACACAUGCAAGUCGAGCGGAAAGGCCCUUCGGGGUACUCGAGCGGCGAACGGGUGAGUAACACGUGAGCAACCUGCCCUUAGCUUUGGGAUAACCCUCGGAAACGGGGGCUAAUACCGAAUGUUCACUGUCUGACGCAUGUUGGGCGGUGGAAAGUUUUUCGGCUGGGGAUGGGCUCGCGGCCUAUCAGCUUGUUGGUGGGGUGAUGGCCUACCAAGGCGACGACGGGUAGCCGGCCUGAGAGGGCGACCGGCCACACUGGGACUGAGACACGGCCCAGACUCCUACGGGAGGCAGCAGUGGGAAUAUUGCACAAUGGGCGAAAGCCCGAUGCAGCGACGCCGCGUGAGGGAUGACGGCCUUCGGGUUGUAAACCUCUUUCAGCAGGGACGAAGCGAAAGUGACGGUACCUGCAGAAGAAGCGCCGGCCAACUACGUGCCAGCAGCCGCGGUAAGACGUAGGGCGCAAGCGUUGUCCGGAUUUAUUGGGCGUAAAGAGCUCGUAGGCGGCUUGUUGCGUCGACUGUGAAAACCCGCGGCUCAACCGUGUGGUCUGCAGUCGAUACGGGCAGGCUAGAGUUCGGUAGGGGAGACUGGAAUUCCUGGUGUAGCGGUGAAAUGCGCAGAUAUCAGGAGGAACACCGGUGGCGAAGGCGGGUCUCUGGGCCGAUACUGACGCUGAGGAGCGAAAGCGUGGGGAGCGAACAGGAUUAGAUACCCUGGUAGUCCACGCUGUAAACGUUGGGCGCUAGGUGUGGGGGACCUCUCCGGUUCUCUGCGCCGCAGCUAACGCAUUAAGCGCCCCGCCUGGGGAGUACGGCCGCAGGCUAAAACUCAAAU
rnacentral:rRNA from 1 species